AUUGAACGCUAGCGGGAUGCCUUACACAUGCAAGUCGAACGGAGUGGCGAACGGGUGAGUAAUGCAUCGGAAUCUGCCCAGUAGCGGGGGAUAACUACGGGAAAGCGUAGCUAAUACCGCAUACUAUUGGAUCAGCCGAUGUCGGAUUAGCUAGUUGGUGGGGUAAAGGCCAACCAAGGCGACGAUCCGUACCUGGUUUGAGAGGACGACCAGCCACACGGGGACUGAGACACGGCCCAGACUCCUACGGGAGGCAGCAGUGGGGAAUAUUGGACAAUGGGAGAAAGCCUGAUCCAGCCAUCCCGCGUGUGUGAUGAAGGCCUUCGGGUUGUAAAGCACUUUUGGCAGGAAAGCGGUACCUGCAGAAUAAGCACCGGCUAACUACGUGCCAGCAGCCGCGGUAAUUC
rnacentral:rRNA from 1 species